rnacentral:rRNA from 1 species
UACGGAGGGUGCAAGCGUUAUCCGGAUUCACUGGGUUUAAAGGGUGCGUAGGUGGGUCUGUAAGUCAGUGGUGAAAUCUCCGGGCUUAACUCGGGAACUGCCGUUGAUACUAUAGAUCUUGAAUAUCGCGUAGGUAAGCGGAAUAUGUCAUGUAGCGGUGAAAUGCUUAGAUAUGACAUAGAACACCAAUUGCGAAGGCAGCUUACUUCACGAUCAUUGACACUGAGGCACGAAAGCGUGGGGAGCAGACAGG